UACGUAGGCAGCAAGCGUUGUUCGGAAUUACUGGGCGUAAAGAGUGUGUAGGCGGUGCUCCAAGUCUGGUGUGAAAUCUCCCGGCUUAACUGGGAGGGCGCAUUAGAAACUGGAAUGCUAGAGGAUGGGAGAGGUAAGCGGAAUUCCUGGUGUAGCGGUGAAAUGCGUAGAUAUCAGGAGGAGCACCUGUGGUGUAGACAGCUUACUGGACCAUUUCUGACGCUGAGACACGAAAGCGUGGGUAGCAAACAGG
rnacentral:rRNA from 1 species